rfam:Gossypium raimondii Chr10_contig_22, whole genome shotgun sequence.
UGUUAAAAUUUUCAUCUAUUUUUACUUUUAAAAAUUGGUGUGGAAAAAAUAACCAGAUAAUUACACGUGCAUCUCAUGUUGACAUAUAUAAACCGAUUUUAAACAAUAAAAAUAGAUGGAACUUUUAACA